rnacentral:rRNA from 1 species
AUGUCAUGUAUGCCUUGCCUUAGAGCACGAGCAAUGCGGAAAAAAAACAGAAACCUGCGCUCUAGUGGUGGUGACGAAGGCGGGAUAACUUCUGGUCUAUCAAGUAGACACCCAUUCUCGAUUCCUAAGCGCAAUGGAUUUGUUUCUGUUGGCGAAAGCUGUAUUCUGAAGACAAAUCAUUUUAAACCAUCGACUUAUUGUGACAAUAUUUACCGAUAUGAGGUAUUUAUGAACUAUGAGUUUCUGUCAUCUGGCCCCUCUCAUGCUACCGCCAUCUCAUGUGGUGUCAAACGUGCUGUUAUGAGAAAGCUUUGCAAGAUGUAUAGGGAAUCACAUUUGCGUGGCCGGCGUCCUCAUAUGAUGGAAGGAACAGGUUAUAUGCAUCUGGACCGUUUUCAUUUGAAUCUGAGACCUUUGUUAUAA